rnacentral:rRNA from 1 species
UACGGAGGGUGCAAGCGUUAUUCGGAUUCACUGGGCUUAAAGGGUGCGUAGGCGGGCAUUUAAGUCAGUGGUGAAAUACCUGAGCUUAACUUGGGAACUGCCAUUGAUACUAUUUGUCUUGAAUGUCGUGGAGGUUAGCGGAAUAUGUCAUGUAGCGGUGAAAUGCUUAGAUAUGACAUAGAACACCUAUUGCGAAGGCAGCUAACUACGCGAAUAUUGACGCUGAGGCACGAAAGCGUGGGGAGCAAACAGG